AGUCCACGCUGUAAACGAUGUCGAUUUGGAGGUUGUUCCCUUGAGGAGUGGCUUCCGGAGCUAACGCGUUAAAUCGACCGCUGGGGAGUACGGCCGCAAGGUUAAAACUCAAAUGAAUUGACGGGGGCCCGCACAAGCGGUGGAGCAUGUGGUUUAAUUCGAUGCAACGCGAAGAACCUUACCUACUCUUGACAUCCAGAGAAUUUAGCAGAGAUGCUUUAGUGCCUUCGGGAACUCUGAGACAGGUGCUGCAUGGCUGUCGUCAGCUCGUGUUGUGAAAUGUUGGGUUAAGUCCCGCAACGAGCGCAACCCUUAUCCUUUGUUGCCAGCACAUUAUGGUGGGAACUCAAAGGAGACUGCCGGUGAUAAACCGGAGGAAGGUGGGGAUGACGUCAAGUCAUCAUGGCCCUUACGAGUAGGGCUACACACGUGCUACAAUGGCGUAUACAAAGAGAAGCGACCUCGCGAGAGCAAGCGGAACUCAUAAAGUACGUCGUAGUCCGGAUUGGAGUCUGCAACUCGACUCCAUGAAGUCGGAAUCGCUAGUAAUCGUAGAUCAGAAUGCUACGGUGAAUACGUUCCCGGGCCUUGUACACACCGCCCGUCACACCAUGGGAGUGGGUUGCAAAAGAAGUAGGUAGCUUAACCUUCGGGAGGGCGCUUACCACUUUGUGAUUCAUGACUGGGGUGAAGUCGUAACAAGGUAACCA
rnacentral:rRNA from 1 species